UACGAAGGGAGCUAGCGUUGUUCGGAAUCACUGGGCGUAAAGCGCACGUAGGCGGAUGUGUCAGUCAGGGGGUGAAAUCCCGGAGCUCAACUUCGGAACUGCCCUUGAUACAGCACGUCUUGAGUCCGGAAGAGGUGGGUGGAAUUCCUAGUGUAGAGGUGAAAUUCGUAGAUAUUAGGAAGAACGCCGGUGGCGAAGGCGGCCACUGGUCCGGUACUGACGCUGAGGUGCGAAAGCGUGGGGAGCAAACAGG
rnacentral:rRNA from 1 species